rnacentral:rRNA from 1 species
UACGUAGGGGGCAAGCGUUGUCCGGAUUUAUUGGGCGUAAAGAGCGUGUAGGCGGCCAUACAGGUCAGCUGUGAAAACUCGAGGCUCAACCUCGAGACGUCGGUUGAAACCGUAUGGCUAGAGUCCGGAAGAGGAGAGUGGAAUUCCCGGUGUAGCGGUGAAAUGCGCAGAUAUCGGGAAGAGCACCCGUGGCGAAGGCGGCUCUCUGGGACGGUACUGACGCUGAGACGCGAAAGCGUGGGGAGCGAACAGG